rnacentral:rRNA from 1 species
ACAUCUCAGUAGCAAGGUUAAGGCGGUGACAGCCGUAGCCGUAGCGAAAGCGAGUCUGAAUAGGGCGUAUAGUUGCUGGGAGUAGACACGAAACCGGGUGAGCUAACCAUGGCCAGGGUGAAGCGGGAGUAAAGUUCCGUGGAGGCCCGAACAGUUGUAUGUUGCAAAAUGCUCUGAUGAGCUGUGGUUAGGGGUGAAAUGCCAAACGAACUCGGAGAUAGCUUGUUCUCCCCGAAACAGCUUUAGGGCUGGCGUUGCGCGAUGAGUACCGGAGGUAGAGCACUGGAUUGGCUAGGGGGCGUAUAGCUUACCAAACCAAACCAAACUCCGAAUGCCGGUAGAUUAAGCGCGGCAGUUGGACUGUGGGAGAUGAGUUCCAUGGUCAAGAGGGAAAGAGCCCAGACCGUCAGCUAAGGUCCCGAAGUGUGUGCUAAGUGGGAAAGGAUGUGAGAUUACUGAGACAGCCAGGAGGUUGGCUUAGAAGCAGCCACCCUUUAAAGAGUGCGUAAUAGCUCACUGGUCAAGUGAUUUUGCGCCGAAAAUGUAACGGGGCUCAAGCACACCACCGAAGCUACGGAUUUAAGAAGAGAAGCGAGAGUGAGGAGGAGAGAGUUAGUUUACUAACUUUUAAUUCUUAACUUUUAAUUCUUAAUUCUUAGAUGGUAGGGGAGCGUUGUGCAGGAGAGACAAGACGUACCGAGAGGAGCGUAUGAGGCCUGCACAAGUGAGAAUGUUGGUAUGAGUAGCGAAAGAUGUGUGAGAAACAUAUCCACCGUAAGUCUAAGGUUUCCGACGGAAGGUUAAUCCGCGUCGGGUUAGUCGGGCCUAAGCCGAGGCCGGAAGGCGUAGGCGAUGGACAACAGGUUAAUAUUCCUGUACCACCGGAGAGUAGUGAAGGCGUGACACAGGAGGGUAGGCCAGCCGGGUGAUGGAAGUCCCGGUGCGAAGCGUGUAGAGCGAAGACCCUUGCAGGAAAAUCCGUGGGGGUAGCUUGAGGCGUGAUAGCGGAGCCGUAUGGCCGGAAGUGGUUGAGCCCAAACUGUCAAGAAAAGCGUCUAAGCGAUGAUACUUAGGUGCCCGUACCGCAAACCGACACAGGUAGACGGGUAGAGAAUACCAAGGUGAUCGAGAGAACCCUCGUUAAGGAAUUCGGCAAAAUUGAUCCGUAACUUCGGGAAAAGGAUCGCCCCAUUGAGUGAAGGUUGAACGACUGGAGCUUAAGGGGGCCGCAGAGAAAAGGCCCUGUCGACUGUUUAACAAAAACACAGGUCUCUGCCAACUCGAAAGAGGAAGUAUAGGGGCUGACACCUGCCCAGUGCCGGAAGGUUAAAAGGAGGGGUUAGUGACUUCGGUUGCGAAGCUCUGAAUUGAAGCCCCGGUGAACGGCGGCCGUAACUAUAACGGUCCUAAGGUAGCGAAAUUCCUUGUCGGGUAAGUUCCGACCCGCACGAAAGGUGUAACGAACGGGGCACUGUCUCAACGAGGGACUCGGCGAAAUUGAACUGCGCGUGAAGAUGCGCGCUACCUGCAGCAGGACAAAAAGACCCCGUGGAGCUUUACUGUAGCUUGCUAUUGCGUUAGGGUAUUAUUUGUGCAGGAUAGCUGGGAGGCUGAGAAGCUGGCACGUCAGUGUCGGUGGAGCCAACGUUGAGAUACCAGCCUGAUGAUGCCUUGGCCCUAACCUGCGUCCGUGAAACCGGCGUGGAGACAGUGGCAGGUGGGCAGUUUGACUGGGGCGGUCGCCUCCUAAAGAGUAGCGGAGGCGCCCAAAGGUUCCCUCAGGCUGAAUGGAAACCAGUCUAAGAGUGUAAAGGCAUAAGGGAGCUUGACUGCAAGAGGGACAUCUCGAGCAGAGACGAAAGUCGGGCUUAGUGAUCCCACGGACCUGAGUGGAAGGGCCGUGGCUUACCGGAUAAAAGCUACCCCGGGGAUAACAGGCUAGUCUCCCCCAAGAGUUCACAUCGACGGGGAGGCUCGGCACCUCGAUGU